rnacentral:rRNA from 1 species
UUUCCGGUUGAUCCUGCCGGACCUGACUGCUAUCGGAUUGAUACUAAGCCAUGCGAGUCUUUGCAGUAAUGCAAGGCAUACGGCUCAGUAACACGUAGUCAACUUACCCUAUGGACGAGGAUAAUCUCGGGAAACUGAGCAUAAUACUCGAUAGAUCAUAAUGCCUGGAAUGGUUUAUGGUUGAAAUGAUUCGUCGCCAUAGGAUGGGACUGCGGCCUAUCAGCUUGUUGGUGAGGUAAUGGCCCACCAAGGCGAUUACAGGUACGGGCUCUGAGAGGAGAAGCCCGGAGAUGGGUACUGAGACAAGGACCCAGGCCCUAUGGGGCGCAGCAGGCGAGAAAACUUUGCAAUGUGCGAAAGCACGACAAGGUUAAUCCGAGUGAUUUCUGCUAAAGAAAUCUUUUGCAAGUCAUAAAACCACUAGUGAAUAAGGGGUGGGCAAGUUCUGGUGUCAGCCGCCGCGGUAAAACCAGCACCUCAAGUGGUCAGGAGGAUUAUUGGGCCUAAAGCAUCCGUAGCCGGCUCUGUAAGUUUUCGGUUAAAUCCAUGUGCUCAACGCAUGGGCUGCCGAAAAUACUGCAUAGCUAGGGAGUGGGAGAGGUAGACGGUACUCAGUAGGAAGGGGUAAAAUCCUUUGAUCUAUUGAUGACCACCUGUGGCGAAGGCGGUCUACCAGAACACGUUCGACGGUGAGGGAUGAAAGCUGGGGGAGCAAACCGGAUUAGAUACCCGGGUAGUCCCAGCUGUAAACGAUGCAGACUCGAGGAUGCAUUGGCAUAUAGCCAGUGCAGUGUCGCAGGGAAGCCGUUAAGUCUGCCGCCUGGGAAGUACGUACGCAAGUAUGAAACUUAAAGGAAUUGGCGGGGGAGCACCACAAGGGGUGAAGCCUGCGGUUCAAUUGGAUUCAACGCCGGG